UAAGCACCGACUUGAUGGAAUCACAUUGC
rnacentral:piRNA from 1 species